CCAGUACCACCAGAAUGGGUGCCACAGCCCCCUACUGGUCCCAGGACCACCAGUACUGGUGCCGGAGCCCCCGUACUGGUCCCAGUAUGAGCAGUACUGGUGCCGGAACCCCUGCACUGGUCCCAGUAUGGGCAGUAAUGAUGCUGGAGCUCCUGUACUGGUUCCAGUACCACCAGUACUGGUGCUGGCACUCCCAUACUGGUCCCAGUACCACCAGUACAGGUGCUGGGUCCCCCAUAAUGGUCCCAGUACAACCAGUAAUGGUGCCGGAACCCCCUGUACUGGUUCCAGUACCACCAGUACGGGUGCUGGGUCCCACAUACUGGUCCCAGUACGAGCAGUACUGGUGCCGGAGCUCCCGUACAGGUCCCAGUACGAGCAGUACUGGUGCUGGGUCCCCCGUAAUGGUCCCAGUACCACCAGUACUGGUGCCGGAACCCCCGUACUGGCUCAAGUACCACCAGUACUGGUGCUGGCGCUCCUCUACUGGUCCCAGUAUCACCAGUACAGGUGCUGGGUCCCCCAUACUGGUCCCAGUACCACCCGUACAGGUGCCGGGGCUCCCGUACUGGUCCCAGUACAGGCAGUACAGGUGCCGGGGCCCCCGUACUGGUCCCAGUACAGGCAGUACAGGUGCCGGAGCUCCCGUACUGGUCCCAGUACCACCAGUACAGGUGCCAGAGCUCCCAUACUGGCCCCAGUACCACCAGUACAGGUGCCGGAGCUCCCAUACUGGUCCCAGUACCACCAGUACAGGUGCCGGAGCUCCCGUGCUGGUCCCAGUACAGGCAGUAUUGGUGCCGGGACCCCUGUACUUGUCCCAGUACAGGCAGUACAGGGGCCGGAGCUCCCGUACUGGUCCCAGUACCGGCAGUACAGGGGCCGGAGCUCCCGUACUGGUCCCAGUACAGCCAGUACUGGUGCCACAGCCCCUCUACUGGUCUGUACUGGUCCAGUACCAGCAGCCUAUAGCCCCAGUACAUCCAGUUUAGUAUCUCCAGUUCCAGAGCCCUCAUACUGGUCCAUACUGGGCCAGUCCCAGCAACCAGUGCAUUUAAACUCAUCCAAUUACAACAAUCAAUUAGUGCAAUUAGUCCCUAGCAGCCUCUAAUUAACCUAGCUCAUUAAGUCCCCACACCAUCCUCGUUAAGCGCGAAGCGCUAAUUUCUUUGAAAAAGUCCGAAUUGGGGCAAAAGCCAAAUAAAUGUGGUUUGAGGACUGGGUUCA
rnacentral:lncRNA from 1 species